GAUCCAUAUUUUUUGUUGUAUAAUAAUUUCAUUUGCUCCCACUAAUGGGUUGAUACGCAUGUGAUAAUAAAUCCAUCAUUAUGACUUAAUGAGGUACUUUGGAAAUUACAUGAAUAUUGUUUGAUUUUUUAAUAUGGGGUGCACUUUUUUUUACAUUAUUUUUUUUUUAAUAUGAGAUCUAUUUUUUUUUUUUUUAUAUUGCUUCAUUUUAUUAAUAUGGGUGGAGAUAAUGGGUUCCACUUUUAUUUUUUAAAUUGUUGGUGUUUAGGAUGGGAUCCACUUUUUUUUUUUUUUUUUGGGGGGCGACGGACGACGAUUCUAUAUAGUUAGAGUAUUUUUUUUAUUAUAGAAAUGACUGUUGAUGGGACAAACACGACAAUCCCAAUUUGUACUUCCUGCUUCAUCUGUAUGUACACUUUGAUGGACGAACACUGCAUAAAAAUAAUUGUACCUAAGAUUAUAUAGAUUGUACGGUAUUGUUGGGCCUCUCAUUUUUCAUGCGUGGGCCGAUCCAUGGGAAUUUCUUGUUGAACACGUGUAUGGCACUGCAUUCAAUUUUCCUCUUUUGAGGUGACAAGUUUUUGCUUCUUAAAUUUGAGUUGCACAUCUGGCUUCCAUUUAGCUUUUCUUUGUGCUUCUUCACUGCACGAAUGCAUAACAAAUGAAAGAUCUACCCACUGUUUCUUCUCUCAAGUAAAAAAAACUGUUACCAACCUUUAUUUCUCAAUCUCUUGAUAUCCCAUAUGGGUAGCUCUUAUAUAUUAUGGGUUUAUGCACAGUUACAUGGGAUUGAAAUGCAUCUUCGGAGAAUUUAUUGUGAUAUAUACGUAUAUAUACAACCUUCAAUUCACAUUAGUGUGGUGUUAAAUUAGGUCCAGUACAAUGAAAUUCUUCCUAAAUGGGCUUCAAAGACAGUUUAUAAAGCUUUUGAUGUGUAUGAAGGGAUUGAAGGAGCAUGGCAUCAGGUGAAGCGACUCUCUACGAGGGAGUCGAUGAGGUCAACAUAGUGAAGGUUUUCGAUAUUGAUUCUAUGUAUUUACUCAAUUCUCGGGAAUGAAAUUAUACAGGGUCUUUGAGUAGAGAUGGACUCUUAGGGGUCGUUUGGUUUAAGGUAUAAGCUGGGUUAUCCAACACUAAUUUUUAUACCAUAUUUGGUAUAAGGUAUAAAUUAGUGUUGGGAUAAAUUUAUACCUUAUACCAAACAUGAUAUAAAAAUUAGUGUUGGGAUAACCCAGCUCAUACCUUCUUAACCCAUUUAUACUGGGAUUAUUUUAUACCAUCUUUUAGAUGUUAUAAAAUAAUCCCAAUAGAUGAGAUAAAUUAGUCCCGGGAGUAUGAGUCCUUAAACCAAACGACCCCUUAGAAUCAUGGAUAUUGCCUUUUUUAUUUUCUUUCACCCUUUUCAUAUUUCUCUGUUGGAUUCUUCAUGUAGAGCCUUUACAUAAUUGCAUUUCCCUCUUUCUUCACAAUAAGUUUUGCUUAAAACCUAGUGGUGAACAACAAUUCAUAAACUUAUAAUGUUUUGUUUUCAAUUUUCUUUUUACUUGAUG